rnacentral:misc_RNA from 3 species
CACCACUCAAGCCUGGCUUGGUAUUGGAGGUCGCGGUCCGCCGCGCCUCCUAAUGUCGCCGGCCGAGUCGUCUGUCUCCGAGCGUUGUGAAUCUUCAAUUCGCUUUCGAGUACAGGCGGCGCGCGCCGUUAAACCUCUUUUUCA